rnacentral:rRNA from 1 species
AGCGGGAAAAGCUCAAAUUUAAAAUCUGGCGGUUCUGCCGUCCGAGUUGUAGUCUGGAGAAGUGUUAUCUGCGUCGGACCGUGUACAAGUCUCCUGGAAUGGAGCGUCAUAGAGGGUGAGAAUCCCGUCCAUGACACGGACGCCCGAUGCUUUGUGAGGCACUCUCAAAGAGUCGAGUUGUUUGGGAAUGCAGCUCAAAAUNGGUGGUAAAUUCCAUCUAAAGCUAAAUAUUGGCGAGAGACCGAUAGCGAACAAGUACCGUGAGGGAAAGAUGAAAAGCACUUUGGAAAGAGAGUUAAACAGUACGUGAAAUUGUUGAAAGGGAAACGCUUGAAGUCAGUCGCGUCCCGUGGAACUCAGCCUAGCCUCGGCUUGGUGUACUUUCCAUGAGACGGGUCAACAUCAAUUUCGGCCGGUGGAAAAGGGCGAAGGGAAUGUAGCGUCGUUUCGGCGGCGUGUUAUAGCCCCUUGUCGCAUACGCUGGCUGGGAUUGAGGACUGCAGCACGCCCUUGUGGCCGGGGUUCGCCCACGUAACGUGCUUAGGANGUUGGCAUAAUGGCUUUAAGCGACCCGUCUUGAAACACGGACCAANGAGUC